GUUUUGAGCGAGUUGUUUGAAGAAUAUCCCCACUCAUCUCUUGUGGUUUUUCUCUCUUUGCAGUUUCUGAUUUUCAUGUAGUAAAACUUAUUUACGAGUGUCUGAAUCAAUCAUGGCAAGAAGAUCAUCAAGAAUUCAAGAAGUUGAUGAGAAAAAUGAAGUGAACUGCAUGUGGGGAUUGCUGAGCAUCCUCGAAUCAUGCCAAGGUCGUCCCAGUCAUAAGGUGAUCUCCAAUGGGAGAGCAGCCAACAGAAACAUCAUCG
rnacentral:lncRNA from 1 species